GGAGCUCUUUUGGUAAAGAGUCUCUUCGAAGAGGAUGACACCGCUGAGGCAAGGGAGAGCACCGGGGGCGGUGAAGAGAAGCUCACGGAGAGCACGUCUGUUAGUCUCAACGUUCUCGACGUUGAUGCUCGCGAGACGCUUUCCGAUGGUACCGGUGGACUCAUCGGCGGCGAGAAUACCUUUUCCAGGUGUGCCGAUGUAUGCAGCGUUAGCGAUCAGCUCAUCUGCAGAUGUUUCAAAACAGAAAAAAACGCAUAAACGAUUACGAACGAUAUAAAACUUCAGAUCGCGAAUACAGUUGAUUAGAUCGGAUGAUUUGGAGUGAAGACAGAUCGAUCAAGUAUGCAACUAAUGAACAGUGAAUCGGAUCUCUAAGCUAUCAACAGAUUCAAUUCAACUCAUACAACGAAGCAACUAAUCCAGAUCUAGAGAGUUAAAACACUCGAUCACAAUCCAAAACAUCAGAUCUAAAGCUUUAUACGAAAACUACGCUAGUGAAUCGAAUACGCUUAGCUACGACGGGAUAAGCAGAUUCGAGUGAUGAUAGAGUGUGAGAGAUAUUUUUACCGGCGAAUUUGCUGGUGAAGGCAGACAUGGUUUUUGACGGAAAGAUCGAGAAAGUUUUUGAGGAAGUAGGCAGACGAGAGAGAUGGAAGCAAGUGGACCAGACGGUUUGGUAUUUAUAGAUGCGGAGGAGAGUGUAUUGGUUGGUGAAAAAGUAAAUUUGAAGGGUUAGAUCUGUGACAUACUGACAUGUUCUCCAAGAAAUUGCUUCUCAGCCGUUGGAUGUCACGUGGUUUUAUUUGGCAGUUUCUGACUAAUCUCGGUUUUACCCCUUAUUAAUUGAAUCAUAGAGGACUAGCUAGUUGAAGGGUAGUUUUGGUAUCUUGUCGUGUUGCUUACGGUUAAGCACGACUUCGGCCGCACAGCGGCUCAAGCCUCCUCAGGCUCAACCUUCAAGCUAAUUAUGUAAUGGGAAAAUUGCCAAAACAGAAUAAAAAAACAGGCUGGUUGUCCCUAUGGUAUAAAUUCAAUUUUGUCCAUUUUAUCUUCCUUUUACCCUUUUAUUUCUGAAACUUAAUAAAAUAAAUAGUUUUAUGAAUCAAAAAAAUUAUUAAAAAUAUAAACUAUUAAUAGAACACCAAUAUACACAAGCACAUAUUUUUAUUUUUUUCAAAAACUUGAUAAAUAGAAUUUCCAAUUUACGUUCUACUAAAAGUAGAAUUCGUCUUCUACGGAAAUUGGGUUAGUAGAACGCAAAAUCCAGAAUAAACACGUACAUCUACUUGUUUUGGAACGUAAAAUCUACUUUUGAUUCAAUAUCUAAAUAUGGGGAAUGCGAAUUCUACUAAUUGUAAAGAUAUCUACUUUUCUGAAAAAUGCAGUUUCUACUUUUAACAAGUAUUCUAUCAUAGCCGAUUUGGAGUUAAGUUAUCUACCUGCUGAGUGGAUCAAUACUUCAGGAUGUCCACCUGUGAUCAUUGCAAACGAUCGACAGCUUCAUAAUUUUGUUCGAUUUGUUCAAAAGAGUGCUUCUACUCGAUUGUGUGUCACAUGUAAAGCCAAGGCUGAGAAUCCGAAUAAAGAAGCCUUUGAUCUUAACAAACCGCCAGCUGAUCCAUGUACUCAUGAAGAGAAAGAAAACUUGUUUGACAGUGGGGACGAACCAGCUCCUGUGUAUGCUGAGACGCAGGGGAAGAAGAAGAAUGAAAAGCGGAAAGGAGUCGCAGUUGACGAGGAUGGGGACUAUGAUGCUGAUACCAUGAUCUCUGAAAAAGAGAACAUACAUAAAAUGUCAAAGUUUUCUCUGCUCCAUGUUGUUAAGGUCGGACAAUUUUUUGAGAACAAAACUUUGUUGAAGGCGACUUUCGAGAUGUGUGCAAUGAAGCAUAACUUUGACUACCAGGUUAUCAAAACGGAUAGACAACUUUGGUAUGUUAGAUGUGCGGAUAAUGCAUGCGAUUGGGGUGUUCGAGCAGAGUGUCUGAAGGAUUCUACAUAUUUCAUGAUCAAGAAGUAUGUCGGUAAACAUACAUGCGCACCUUCAAGCAAAACCAAAGCGGGUAAGACUGCUUCAGCAAAAACUAUAGGCAGUCUGAUUAUGCAUAAGUAUGUAGGCGUCAAGGAAGGGCCGAAAUGUAAUGAUAUCAUACAGAUUAUGCGUAGUGAUCAUGGAUGUGAGAUCUCAAAAUCGUUAGCAUGGGAUGCGCGUGAAUAUGCGAUCAGUGCAGUUAGAGGUAUUCCAGAGAGAAGUUAUGGGAAAAUUCCAAAAUACUUGCACAUGCUGAGAGAGACUAAUCCAGGUACACACACAUCCCAUGAGAUUGACGGAAAUGAGAAUUUUCGUUACCUAUUUAUUGCAUUUGGGCAAUCAAUAAGAGGAUUUAACAGAGUCAUGAGACGGGUUAUUGUGAUCGAUGGGACCUUUUUGAAGAAUAAAUACAAAGGAGUUUUACUGGUUGCAACUGCUUUAGACGGAAAUUCAAAUUUGGCUUCAGAGUUAGCCUUGCACCUCACAUACAACGCCUCUUGAGCAGCCUUAACAUUCUCCUCUUUCCCCGCCCAUGUCUUCAAUGUGCUCUGUUGCAACGCACGUCCGAAGGAGAAAGACAACGACCAUGGCUUCUUGGUCUUCAACUGGUUCAUCGCGUUCAAGUUCUUAGUCGCCUCCUCCUCGCUCUGUCCACCGGACAAGAAAACAAUAGCUGGAACAGCUGCUGGUACCGUUCUCUGAAGAGCACGGACGGUGUGCUCAGCGAUAACCUCAGGUGCAACCUUGGCACUGUCGGAUCCAGGCGUCACCAUGUUAGGCUUCAACAAAGUUCCCUCUAGCAAAACGUGGUGGUCGCUAAGAGCCUUGUAGCAAGCCGCAAGGACACGCUCGGUGACGGCAGCACACUUGUGGAUGUCGUGGGAUCCGUCGACAAGGAUCUCAGGCUCAACGAUCGGUACAAGACCGUUCUCCUGGCAGAUGACAGCGUAUCUAGCCAACCCGUAAGCGUUCUCGUGGAUAGAAUGCUCUGAUGGCUCGUUCUCGCCGAUCUUGAGAACCGCACGCCAUUUGGCGAAACGUGCACCAGCUUCGUAGUACUUCUUGCAACGCUCACCGAGACCGUCGAGACCUUGGGUGGUGGUCUCGCCGUUGGUUCCGGCUAGCUCAACGGUACCCUUGUCGACUUUGAUACCUGGGAGGACUCCUCCUUCCUUCAAGAUAUCAACGAAAAGCUUGCCUGCGUACAAAACAAAAACAAUAAGAAACCUCACAUAAACAGAGACUAAUUGUAAGAGAGAUAUAGUUAGAGGACUUAAUUGUAAUUAGUAAAUGUUCAGAAUUUACAAUUAAGUCCUCUAACUAUAUCUCUCUUACACUAAUGAAUUGGAUUCGUACCAUCGGAGCUCUUUUGGUAAAGAGUCUCUUCGAAGAGGAUGACACCGCUGAGGCAAGGGAGAGCACCGGGGGCGGUGAAGAGAAGCUCACGGAGAGCACGUCUGUUAGUCUCAACGUUCUCGACGUUGAUGCUCGCGAGACGCUUUCCGAUGGUACCGGUGGACUCAUCGGCGGCGAGAAUACCUUUUCCAGGUGUGCCGAUGUAUGCAGCGUUAGCGAUCAGCUCAUCUGCAGAUGUUUCAAAACAGAAAAAAACGCAUAAACGAUUACGAACGAUAUAAAACUUCAGAUCGCGAAUACAGUUGAUUAGAUCGGAUGAUUUGGAGUGAAGACAGAUCGAUCAAGUAUGCAACUAAUGAACAGUGAAUCGGAUCUCUAAGCUAUCAACAGAUUCAAUUCAACUCAUACAACGAAGCAACUAAUCCAGAUCUAGAGAGUUAAAACACUCGAUCACAAUCCAAAACAUCAGAUCUAAAGCUUUAUACGAAAACUACGCUAGUGAAUCGAAUACGCUUAGCUACGACGGGAUAAGCAGAUUCGAGUGAUGAUAGAGUGUGAGAGAUAUUUUUAC
rnacentral:lncRNA from 1 species